UACGGUGGGGGCAAGCGUUGUUCGGAAUUACUGGGCGUAAAGGGCUCGUAGGUGGCCAACUAAGUCAGACGUGAAAUCCCUCGGCUUAACCGGAGAACUGCGUCUGAUACUGGAUGGCUUGAGUUUGGGAGAGGGACGCGGAAUUCCAGGUGUAGCGGUGAAAUGCGUAGAUAUCUGGAGGAACACCGGUGGCGAAGGCGGCGUCCUGGACCAACACUGACACUGAGGAGCGAAAGCCAGGGGAGCAAACGGG
rnacentral:rRNA from 1 species